rnacentral:rRNA from 1 species
UACGUAGGGGGCUAGCGUUGCUCGGAAUCACUGGGCGUAAAGCGCACGUAGGCGGAUUGUUAAGUCAGGGGUGAAAUCCUGGAGCUCAACUCCAGAACUGCUUUUGAUACUGAAGAUCUUGAGUUCGGGAGAGGUGAGUGGAACUGCGAGUGUAGAGGUGAAAUUCGUAGAUAUUCGCAAGAACACCAGUGGCGAAGGCGGCUCACUGGCCCGAUACUGACGCUGAGGCACGAAAGCGUGGGGAGCAAACAGG